AUGAACGCUGGCGGCGUGCCUAAUACAUGCAAGUCGAGCGAACGGACGAGAAGCUUGCUUCUCUGAUGUUAGCGGCGGACGGGUGAGUAACACGUGGAUAACCUACCUAUAAGACUGGGAUAACUUCGGGAAACCGGAGCUAAUACCGGAUAAUAUUUUGAACCGCAUGGUUCAAAAGUGAAAGACGGUCUUGCUGUCACUUAUAGAUGGAUCCGCGCUGCAUUAGCUAGUUGGUAAGGUAACGGCUUACCAAGGCAACGAUGCAUAGCCGACCUGAGAGGGGGAGAGGGCACACUGGAACUGGGACACGGGGCCAAGACCCACGGGAGGCGGAGGUGGGGAGUCUCUCGCAAAGUGGGAAAACGCGAGAGGGCAACGCGCCGGGAGUGAUGAAGGGCUUCGGGGAGGAAAACCCUCUUUUUUGGGGAAAGAAUAUGUGUAAAAAAAAGUGCGCACAUUUGGGGGAUCCAUACAGAAAACCCCGGGUAAAACCGC
rnacentral:rRNA from 1 species